rnacentral:rRNA from 1 species
AUUGAACGCUGGCGGAAUGCUUUACACAUGCAAGUCGAGCGGCAGCGCGGCCUUCGGGCUGGCGGCGAGCGGCGAACGGGUGAGUAAUGCAUCGGAACAUGCCCAGUCGUGGGGGAUAACACUUCGAAAGAAGUGCUAAUACCGCAUACGUCCUGAGGGGGAAAGCGGGGGAUCGCAAGACCUCGCGCGAUUGGAGUGGCCGAUGUCAGAUUAGCUAGUUGGUGGGGUAAAGGCCUACCAAGGCGACGAUCUGUAGCUGGUCUGAGAGGAUGAUCAGCCACACUGGGACUGAGACACGGCCCAGACUCCUACGGGAGGCAGCAGUGGGGAAUUAUGGACAAUGGGGGCAACCCUGAUCCAGCCAUUCCGCGUGAGUGAAGAAGGCCUUCGGGUUGUAAAGCUCUUUCGGCAGGAACGAAACGGUGGGCUCUAACAUAGUCCGCUAAUGACGGUACCUGAAGAAGAAGCACCGGCUAACUACGUG